CUCGGCGGCUGCGGAGGACUGAGGAGCAGAGGUGCUGAGGAACCUGGAGGCGCGCUCCGCGCCGCCUACGCCGCCUCACAGCGCGUUGCAGCGCUUCCCGCCUCCGCGCGCACCUUUCCCCGCCCGGGGGGCGGUGCCCGACGCGCCCGGAGAGGUGCGCACGCGCGUGUCCGUAUUCGGGGAGAUGAUGUGCCCACUCCCGUAAGUGUUAGUUGCUCAUUGGUGUCCGACUCUGCAACCCCAAGGACUGUAAGCCACCUGGCUCUUCAGUCCAUAGCAUUCUCCAGGAAAGAAUACUGGAGUGGGUUGCCAUUUCCUUCGCCAGGGGAUCUUCCUGAUCGGAGGAGGGAACUCAGGUCUCUUGCAUUGCAGGCAGAUUCCUUACUGUCUGAGCCACUAGGAACAUAUCUUGAAUCAUCCCUUAAGACUGGGUGCGAUUCAAGAUCUGUCCUCCAGCUGUCAGGGAGAGGAGACAGCGACUUCAGUUUGGUAUCCCACCCUACCCCCACCCCCACCCCACACCCCGCCCCCUCGCCUGGUAUCUGUGGAGAAGCCCAGGCAAGAAAGGGACUGGCAGGAAGUUCUGCGGCCGCCCGCCGGUGCUUUGGAAGAAGGGCUGUAUGAGGUGCAAUUGACCGUCCCAUCUCGCGACUCCAGGGAACUAGGGGUGGCUAGAAUUUGUUUCCCCCUGUUAGGGGUUGUCCCGUUCAGUUAUCAGCGUCCACUGGACACACUCGCAUUUGGAGCCGGGAGCGCGGGCUGUGCAGCAGCCGGACUCAGCAGGCGG
rnacentral:lncRNA from 1 species